AUUGAACGCUGGCGGAAUGCUUUACACAUGCAAGUCGAACGGCAGCACGGACUUCGGUCUGGUGGCGAGUGGCGAACGGGUGAGUAACAUAUCGGAACGUAUCCAAUAAUGGGGGAUAACUAAUCGAAAGGUUGGCUAAUACCGCAUACGCCCUACGGGGGAAAGCUAGGGACCUUCGGGCCUGGCGUUAAUGGAGCGGCCGAUAUCUGAUUAGCUAGUUGGUGGGGUAAAGACCCACCAAGGCGACGAUCAGUAGCUGGUCUGAGAGGACGACCAGCCACACUGGAACUGAGACACGGUCCAGACUCCUACGGGAGGCAGCAGUGGGGAAUUUUGGACAAUGGGCGCAAGCCUGAUCCAGCCAUUCCGCGUGAGUGAAGAAGGCCUUCGGGUUGUAAAGCUCUUUCGCAAGGGAAGAAAACUUAUCCUCUAACAUAGGAUGAGGUUGACGGUACCUUGACAAGAAGCACCGGCUAACUACGUGCCAGCCGCCGCGGUAAAAC
rnacentral:rRNA from 1 species